GCGGUUAACCGCAGCUUCAGGGAGGUUAAUUGCCGGCACACUCCAGCUCCCAGGUGGUCCAGUCAUUCGUACGGUUGUUCGGUAGAUUGAAACUACCGAACAACCGGCAGAAAAGCACGAAUACAGCUUUUCUGCAGGCAAAAAUAAAGUCUUUUAAAAGGGGGCCAUAGUCCAAAGGCAGCAGGCGAGCAACCAGGCUUCUCCAAUGCAAUGUGGCGAGAUUGGUCUCGUCACAGCGUACAAUUGGAAUAUUGUGUGGAAACCAACCAUUUAUUUAAUUGUAAGUGCCAGGUAACCAAACGAUAUGAAACAUCAUAUGCUACUUGUGUAGCAGAGUCCAAACAAACUUGAAUAGGGUCACCUUCCUGAAAUGGAGGUGCGGUAGAUUCUGGUAUAGGUGUAGAGGGAGAUACAGAAGCUAUAGGAGUAGAAGGCUGUGCUAUUUCAUCAAUUAUAACUAUAAACUGUGGAAUACCAUUGUCUGUACAUUGCCAUUCACCUACAGAAUCAGAGGGGUUGGAAGUAUUAAC